rnacentral:rRNA from 1 species
GACGAACGCUGGCGGCGUGCUUAACACAUGCCAGUCGAACGCUGAAGCUCAGCUUGCUGGGUGGAUGAGUGGCGAACGGGUGAGUAACACGUGAGUAACCUGCCCUCUUCUUUGGGAUAACGCCCGGAAACGGGUGCUAAUACUGGAUAUUCACUGAUUCUCGCAUGGGGGUUGGUGGAAAGGUUUUUUCUGGUGGGGGAUGGGCUCGCGGCCUAUCAGCUUGUUGGUGGGGUGAUGGCCUACCAAGGCUUUGACGGGUAGCCGGCCUGAGAGGGUGACCGGUCACAUUGGGACUGAGAUACGGCCCAGACUCCUACGGGAGGCAGCAGUGGGGAAUAGUGCACAAUGGGCGAAAGCCUGAUGCAGCGACGCCGCGUGAGGGAUGGAGGCCUUCGGGGUGUAAACCUCUUUCGCUCAUGGUCAAGCCGCAGCUUUGGGUUGUGGUGAGGGUAGUGGGUAAAGAAGCGCCGGCUAACUACGUG